rnacentral:rRNA from 1 species
CGGUAAUACAGAGGGUGCAAGCGUUAAUCGGAAUUACUGGGCGUAAAGCGCGCGUAGGUGGUUCAGUAAGAUGGAAGUGAAAUCCCCGGGCUUAACCUGGGAACUGCUUUCAUAACUGCUGGGCUAGAGUACGGUAGAGGGUAGUGGAAUCUCCUGUGUAGCGGUGAAAUGCGUAGAUAUAGGAAGGAACACCAGUGGCGAAGGCGACUACCUGGACUGAUACUGACACUGAGGCACGAAAGCGUGGGGAGCAAACAGGAUUAGAUACCCUGGUAGUCCACGCCGUAAACGAUGANUACUAGGUGUCGGGCGAGAGCUCGGUGCCGAAGUUAACACAUUAAGUACUCCGCCUGGGGAGUACGCUCGCAAGANUAAAACUCAAAGGAAUUGACGGGGACCCNCACAAGCAGCGNANCAUGUGGUUUAAUUC